UACAGAGGUCCCAAGCGUUGUUCGGAUUCACUGGGCGUAAAGGGUGCGUAGGUGGUCGGGUAAGUCUGAUGUGAAAUCUCUGGGCUCAACCCAGAAAUGGCAUUGGAUACUAUUCGGCUAGAGGAGUGGAGGGGGGACUGGAAUACUUGGUGUAGAGGUGAAAUUCGUAGAUAUCAGGAGGAACACCGGUGGCGAAGGCGGGUCUCUGGGCCGUAACUGACGCUGAGGAGCGAAAGCAUGGGGAGCGAACAGG
rnacentral:rRNA from 1 species